UACGUAGGUGCCAAGCGUUAUCCGGAUUUAUUGGGCUUAAAGGGCGCGUAGGCGGCUUAUUAAGUCAGUGGUGAAAGCCUUCAGCUUAACUGAAGAACUGCCAUUGAUACUGAUGAUCUUGAGUAUGAUUGAGGCGGGCGGAAUGUGUCAUGUAGCGGUGAAAUGCUUAGAUAUGAGGCAGAACACCGAUUGCGAAGGCAGCUCGCUAAGCCAUAACUGACGCUGAUGCACGAAAGCGUGGGGAGCAAACAGG
rnacentral:rRNA from 1 species